GGUUUGUCCGGAAUUUCCAUUCAAAGUGGAUUUUGACAGUUGGCUUUUAGGCCGUAAUCAUAUGUUUGUCGAGACUUUAACGUUUAUCCCUCAACUCUUUGCAUAAUAUGCUAGUUAAAACCACCGUCUUUCGAUCUGUACUGUAAAAUUAGUGAAAAGUAUUAUAGUGACGCCGUAAAAAUCGAAAGAGAAAGUAAACAAAGAGAGUAGCUCAUUGCAGAUGUGUCUUUUUGAAAAAACGCUCAAGAUUUAAUGUUCGAAGCGAUUGAGCAUUGCAUGAAAAUGUGAAGCUCGACCAUCUGUUUCUCUUCUACGUGCGCCAACGAAUCGGGAUGUGCAAAGUCAGAGGCUUACGUUUUAUUGCAUGAAAUACGAUAGUAAAGUUUUUCAUAAAUGCACUACACAUUCAAAACUAAAGACAAUCAAACGAUUUUCGUCGAGCAUUUCCUGGAACAACGCAUAUUUUUAGUUAAAAAUGCACAACCUUCGAUUCUUCGUCCUCCAGUUAUGCAUGGUUCCAUUACCGAUAAAGCUGGUGCCCAAGAAAACGUUCUUAGUUUGAUGUUGAAAGCGAUUUCCUACGACAGCGUGAAAGUAACGUCGAAUCUCGUGCUUUGGUUUAUUCUCCGGGAAUAAGUUCACCUAACGUAGUCGCAUCACUCAAUAAACGCAAUACGGCAAAUCUGGAUAUACCGACGUUGAAAGUCAAGUUAAUAGUAUUCCGGAACCAUCAUAUGCAUAGGAGAAAGUAGGGCGCUUGAGUCGCUGGCAGCACAUCCAGUUAAUGAAGGAGCAUUUCUGGAAACGUUGGUCAGCAGAAUAUCUGCAUCAUUUACAAUCCCAGCCCAAGUGGAACGGCGGAGUAACCAAAAUCGAAGUAGGAGCACUCGUCGUACUCAAGGAUGAAAACGCUCCACCCCAUAGAUGGCAUAUCGGACGGAUUAUUGCCACUCACCCAGGAGACAAGGAUGUAGUACGAGUUGUGACCGUUAAGACAUCAUCUGGCGAAUAUCGACGAGCCAUCACAAAAAUCUAUCUACUUCCGUCGGUUGAUCCAGUGGAGUCAACGGGGGGAGAAUGAUCGCGCAAACUAAUUAAUAUCGAAUCGCCCCUCGGCAGCGAUAUAGAGUAAAAGAGAGAGAGAGAGAGAGCAAUCAGUUAUAGUAUACGUUUUGAACUAUACGCACGCAAUCUUUAAUUUAAUCCGCGAAAACUGUCCAUGUGCCACUUCAAGAGCUAUCGAAUAAAACAAAGGGUAUGUUCAAGAACUGCGUAACACGCAUCCAAUAAUCUUGUUUUGGAGAGACAAUAAAUCCUAAAAUUAAAAACAACAAGCCGAGAAAAACGCUCUUCAUAAUAUACUUUUUCAUUGAGCCAUACAAAUUGGGCACCCUUGUUUUAGUAGUUUUCUAAAAGUAGAUUUAUUCCGGAGUAGUUGUAUUCCGGAGUGCAAAGGUUUUUCCAACAGAAAUGCGAAUGGUACUUCUUUCGUAUAGCAGUGGACUGUACUUUACUUAACCAUGCAGCGUAGCAAAGCGAAAUUUGAUUCCCCAAGUGGAAUCCGAACAUGCAGUGAAAGUUCCCAAGCGAAUCAUCACAAUAUGUGCUGCCUUCAUGCAGUCGGUAAUGACGAAAAAACCACUCGAUGCGCAAUACACACACUUAUUAGUGGAACGAAGGGCUUUCGGCUGGAGACACAUUUAUACACACACUGUCUACUUUACUCCAUUAUAUUUUUCUUCUUAUUUCUAUUUUACACUUAUUUGUUUUCUUCGACCGAUCUCGGUCUGCUUUCUGCUUCUGCUCGCUUUGAAGUUCACCACGUUAUUGAUGCCGCUCGGACCGCAGCAGUAGUUUUAUAUUUUCGUUGUGUGCUGUUUCACUUCGGUGCGAGACACAAACUGCUGUGGCUUGCCCGCUUCUCUUCCGUUCGUUUUCAUGCUGCAUCGAUUGCAAAGAUGCUUGAAGGAAGGUGCGCUACAAGCAGUUAACGCGCUGCUUUUAAACUCGCGCAACGUUAACAAAAUUAUACAAAAAUUAGAGGAUCAGUUCGGAAGCAUCGAGCUGAUAUAUUCAGGCCUUCUACGAGACGUGCUAGAAAUUAGGAAUCCACGUUUCGAACAACCACAAACCAUGGUAGACUUCGUAUCUCGAAUUGGUAACCUCGUCACCAAUAUGGUUUGUUUGGGUCGUAAGGAAUACCUCAAUGACCAACGUUUAGUCCGUGAUUUAGUCAGCAGGUUGCCACAGGGACUGCACCUAAAAUGGCUAACUCACGUUAAUGACGAAACGGUGCUUUCAACCACCGCAAAUCUUUUUGUCGCUCCAACGGUAAGCGAUCUAUUUGAUUGGUUACAGCUCCAGCAAAAGCUAGCUACUAUGUUGAUAGCUGAGCGGGGGUUACAAGACGAUAAACCAGUUAGAACAGAAAAAUCUAACAGGAUUAAUUAUCACGCUACAAGCUACCAAAAGUGCUUGUUAUGCGAACUUGACCACAGGAUAAUUGAUUGUGGUAAAAUUGGAGAACUCUCUCCCGAACAACGGAGGCAGUUCGUUAAGGAGAAGAAUUUAUGCUCAUCGUGCUGCAGAUCAAAUCCUUCGGUAAAGAAUUGUAGAACCAAUAAAAUUUGUAACAUAAAAGGGAGCAAAAGUAGACACCACCAACUGUUACAUGUUAUAGCACAGGAAAAAAGGUCUGAUGAAAGCGACAAUGAAAAUAUUAAUUACCACCAUUCUGGUAAAACAAUCCAUUAUCAAAUAAUUCCCGUCACUCUUUAGAACGGACCGCAUGAAUUAGAAACCUUUGCCUUCGUGGAUACAGGGUCCUCCUCAGUAAGCCUAGUACAAAGUGACAUAGUAGAAAAACUACGUUUUAAAGGAAUUGAACGUCCUAUGACAUUGGCAUGGACGAAUGGUAAGAUUCAAAAAGAAAAAUCGAGUCAAGAAAUUCGUAUGAAAAUAAGAGGUCAGUUUGAUAAAACUUAUUCGUUAAAUGGCUUGAGAACGAUAAAGCAAUUAUCGUUACCUACUCAAACUCUAGCGCGAGACAAACUGAUUAACAAAUACUCUUACUUAGAAAGUACAGAGUUACCGCAUUAUGAAAAUGCAACUCGUACAUUAUUACUUGGAUUGCCCCAUGCUUACUUAAUGACUGGACUAGAGGAAAAAUCCAGAGGGUUCAAUGAACCGGGGGGCUAAGAAAACUAAAUUAGGUUGGGUUCUUCAUGGCGUAACACAACGUGGAAAGUUUUCGCCAAAGCAUGAUGUAGGUCAUAAAAGGGAAAACAAAAAAGAAAUGAUCCUAAGUCAUUUCUGUAUUAAAUCUGUCAGGGUCAAGGAACCUGAGAAGCCGUUCAUCUCAAAGGGCGAUGAACAGGCAAAGAGAACAAAGUAUGACGAUACUUCAGGUCGUCUUCAGAGGUCGGAACAAGGGUUAGGUAGAAAGCCCUACCGACAAACAAAACAGAAAAAAAUAUUUUAAAAACAAAUAUUCAAAUUUUGAGAUGAAACAAGUCUUGUCGGGCGUUGACCCACAGAUUUAUACUUUAUCGACAACACGUGUUUUGUCAACACACCCUAAAAAUGUUAGGAAUAAAAAUAAGGCGAAUGGAAAAUUGAAUUACCAUAAAAUUGAAGACAACAAACAAAAGUCCAAAACGAGAGAGAAAACAAAGAGAGACAUCGCCAUAAAUAGACAAAUUAGGUUGGGUAUUGGAAUUUCUAGAACUAGAUCAUAUAAUAGAUCAGCAGUAAAAUUAGUGGGAUCGGAUUUCAAUCCUCCAAACAAAAAUCAGCCGAAGCUUAUCCGGAAAAAGAACCCGGCGCUUAAGCAGGUACCUUUUCCGCAAAACAUAAAUAACGAAGGGUACAAGAAACACUUCGUCGGGACAUUGAAUCAAAUAAAAGAACCUUAUGUCUACCGCACACGCAAGCGGGAGACAUCGGGAAAACUAAACAAAUGGUGGAAGAAAUACUACCACCAAACUCUAGGAAAAUGAAGAGCAUAACUAGACCUCGUACAUGGAUCAAAGCACUUCCAAGUAGGUGCGCUGAUACUCUUCAUAUCAGUAGAUCAAGUGCUAACCUGACGUUUAAUGAACAGUUUCAAAGAACUUGUAGUUAAAUAGAAUAACAUCAUGAUUUACACCCAUAAGAACAAUACCAAGAUUUUUGCGCGGUAAAGCGAUAAUUUGAGUAAAGCACUAGGAUUAUUUACGGGCCCUGGAAUGUUGCCGCGCAAACGAGAUUGUUUUUCAUUGCCAGCCUUGUAUAAGAAAUGCUACGCGUAGGGAAGGUUGAUGUUGAUUUUAAAAUCCCGAAAAUGGAACGAAAAGAACACAGAAAAGGGAUCACUCUGUCUAUUUACCGACCUCCCGCGCCUAAUUUACAUAAGCGUGCCAUACGCAGUCCGAUUAGCUAGCUUUGGUUUUUCCUUCUCACUUGCUCUGCGGUUAGGAUAGUAAUAAAAUCUUAGAAAGCGGUACAAAUGUAACCGCAUACUUUGUGAGCCCUUACGGGACUGGACUAGGAUUGAAUAGCAGGAAUCCGUAUUGUGGUUAAAUACGUCAGUCUUGAAGUGGCAGGGCCAAAUAUAUAAGUAAACAAAUAGGAAUUGCGCCCUUCUAAGGGCAUAGGAAAUCUACGCCGAAUCUCAGGAGAAUAGGGAAAAACUUAAGGACUAAAAGGGACAAAUUUUCCCGUAGUGAUAUAUGGAUCGCGCGGGCAACAUGUAGCUUUAAGAUAACGUUUGUAAAUAUUUUCUGAAUAAAUUAAGUUUCAAAGUUUUAAA